rnacentral:rRNA from 1 species
ACGGCGAGUGAAGCGGCAACAGCUCAAAUUUGAAAUCUGGCCCUCGGGUCCGAAUUGUAAUUUGUAGAGGAUGAUUUUGGUGCGGUAUCUUCCGAGUUCCUUGGAACAGGACGCCUUAGAGGGUGAGAGCCCCGUACGGUUGAAUGCCUAGCCUCUGUAAAUCUCCUUCGACGAGUCGAGUAGUUUGGGAAUGCUGCUCUAAAUGGGAGGUAAAUUUCUUCUAAAGCUAAAUAUUGGCCAGAGACCGAUAGCGCACAAGUAGAGUGAUCGAAAGAUGAAAAGCACUUUGAAAAGAGGGUUAAAUAGCACGUGAAAUUGUUGAAAGGGAAGGAUUUGUGACCAGACUUUUUCUGGGCGGAUCAUCCGGGGUUCUCUCCGGUGCACUUUGCCCAGUAAAGGCCAGCAUCGAUUUUCGGCGGCGGAUAAAAGCAGUGGGAAUGUGGCUCCUUACGGGGAGUGUUAUAGCCCAUUGUAUAAUACGCUGCUGGGGAUCGAGGUACGCGCUUCUGCAAGGAUGCUGGCGUAAUGGUUAUCAAUCACCCGUCUUGAAACACGGACCAAGGAGUCGAACAUUUAUGCGAGUGUUUGGGUGUUAAACCCUCACGCGUAAUGAAAGUGAACGGAGGUGAGAGCCUGUAUGGGUGCAUCAUCGACCGAUCCUGAAGUUUUCGGAUGGAUUUGAGUAAGAGCAUAACUGUUCGGACCCGAAAGAUGGUGAACUAUGCGUGGAUAGGGUGAAGCCAGAGGAAACUCUGGUGGAGGCUCGCAGCGGUUCUGACGUGCAAAUCGAUCGUCAAAUCUGCGCAU